AAAAAAUCAAUAUCGGUCAAUUCCUAGUUAAUACUGUAAGACUGCCGCUAGUGGCUGUCUACCAGAAAACUACUGGUGGUGCUUUGUAGAGUUUCAGGAAACAACUCUGGGUGUGCUUUUCUUGUGGACAUCCAGCAUCAAGCAAAACUUCAUAGGAAAGCAUUGAUUUGCCCCCAUCAACGAACGUUGACAUAGGAGGAGCGCGACUUAGCAUCAACGGACAUUGGUGCUGGAAUCGGAUAAGUGAAAGAAAGGUGUGUUUGUUUUUUUGCUUUAAAUUUUUUUUUUUUUUUUUUUUUUACCUUUUUAAUGUAUGUGGGGUGCGUGGGUUCAGAGGGACACCAUAAUGUCAAG